rnacentral:lncRNA from 10 species
CAAAAGAGGCCAUGUGAGGACACAGCCAUUCCUCUCUUCUGAGCUCCUCUCUGGCCAACUUUAACUCAUCGAUUGGUUCUGCCACCCGCAACGUUGGCUCCAAAGGCCUGUAGCGUUGUUCUAAUACUUCGGUGAUAUCUCGGAAGGGCCCCUGACAAGACAGGAUGAGGAACAUAUUUUAUAUGGAAGAUUUUUUUGAGGAUCACUCACCCAGAGGGAAAUGAGUUACCA